UCCAGACCUGCAUCCAGACCUGGCUCCCGGUAAAACCUCUUCGCUCCUAUCUCUAGUUCCAGUCUCAGUGUCUCUCUCCUCUUCGUCUACUGAAAUAGUGAAAUGAGUGAAACUGCUCAAAUCUUCUACUCCACUUAUACAUGAAAUUGAAUGUGAGAUAACCUAUAAACCCCCUGGCAACCAUGAAAUGCCAUCAUUCAUCGUGUUUUCUGUUACCGCAGCCUCUUUGUAUUCCAUGAUAAAAUCACAUGAUUUGGGCUUAGACCCCCUAGCUUCUUUUUAUGCGUCGUUCCCAGGACAAGCAAUUAACUCAAGCGUCAGGAGCAAUCGCGAGGAUGAGGGAUAGGUUUAUUACAGCAACCGCAAAUCAGAUUUAACUUACUCAUACAAUAAGGAUUUUGUUGCAUCUGCCUCUGAGACUAUUGUGCACCAUUCCAAGCGAUGGAGGAAGAGAAAGCUUGGUUUUAGGUCUCCAAAAGACAAAGGCGAACCACUGCUGAAAAAGGAUUAUGGUGAAGGGGGAGAUGACGUUGAUCGAAGGCAAAUCAUCAGUUCUGAUGCAUCUUUCUCUCUUUGGGUGAGUAUUUAAUACUUUUUUUCCCAUGGAAUAUCAUUUGUGUUAAUAGCCUUGAAUGAAUUGAAAUGCUUUAGCAGGUUUUUCAAUUAACAGCGUUAGGGAAUCAUAUUUUGUUUGCCAUGCCUGUUUCGCUUAUCUGUAUGACGUCGCGAUAUUAGCCUGCUAAACUUACAUAAGAGUCCGAACAAUGGUUCAUGGUUGCCAUGUUUUAUAUUAACUUUCUGAUACUAAUCUUCUUUGUUUUAAAAAUGGUUGUGAGGUGUUCAACCACUAUUCAAGCUACGUCAUUGGAACCUGCUGCUGCUUUAGAGAAUGUUCCAAGCAUUCGUUCUGUGUUGAUGAUUAGUCGGCCCAGUUGGGAUCCUACAAUAUGAGUCCACUAUCAACUCCCUUAUACUGUGUUUGACGGUCAUGGUGGUUCUGAGGCAUCAGCAUACGUCAAAAAUAAUGCUAUGCAGUUGUUUUUUGAAGAUGCUACUUUGCCACAAAAAAUAUGAUAAUGACGAUAAAUUAUUAGAAGACCUAAGAAAUUCUCAUCAGAGAUCAUUUUUACUCCCUAACCAAGCUCUGACUGAUGAAUGCACUGUCUGUGACUUCUGUUGAAUUGUCUUCUGGGUGUACUUGCAUUGAGUAAGAGAAUGGAUUACGAAAACUGUCUACAGGUGGGUCUUUCUAGGAUUCAAAUAUGCGAAAAAAUGUGCAGGUAUGACUUUCUGUGUGAAUUAUAGCUUAUUGCCGUGUUAAUCUAUCAAGCUUUCUAAAUAAAGAUUUACCCUCUAACAUAGGGCUCGAUCAAAACAACAUUAGCAUGUUUGUUUCAUAUGUUACUUUUUUAUGACUUUUGACAUGGCAUUUCUCUAAACUCUCCAUCUGAUUUUUUUUCCCCAGGCAAAUUAUGCUUUGCUGAUUUUUGUUUUUAUUUAAAGCUGAUUAGCUCUUUAUUUUCUGAGCUUAUUAAUUGUUUUCCGUUAUAGGCUUUUGUCUUUCGAUUUUGACAAAUGUUAGUUGUGAAGUUGGAUUUUAUGAUUGCACAGAUAUUAUCUGUUUGCUUAUUGUAGGUGGUUAUAAUGCAUAUAGAGUUUACUGUUGCUUCAGAUAUUGCGGUGUUGUAAUGGAUGAAGUAGGUAAAAGUUCAUUAAUCACAGAAAUGCUCUCUAAGAUCCUUAAAAGAGUUGUCACCAGGCAGCCAUUUCACGCUUAUAGUGCUUAUACUGACAUCUGCCAAUUUAAACGCUGAAAAUUUCAGCUCUGCAUUUUUUCAAAAGGGAGGCAAAUGGUUGAACCGCGCCAGUUCUACAUCUAAGUAAGAUUCCCCUGCUGCGAGAGAAGCUGAAAUGUCUUGGUGAGCUCCUGACUAUUGUUUACAUGCUUUUGUUACUCUGCUUAGAUAUAUGUUGUGCUAAUGCUUGCAUGAUAAUGAAUCAUUGAGGUAGGAGAUCUGGUCAAAGAUCAAGAGUGAAUGCGUAAGUCAAUUCCUUCUAUUUCAAAAUAUUAAUUUUGUUUGAUUUUUUUCACUACCCACCAAAUUUGCUUUAUAAUAUUAUAUAUUAUAUAACUAGAAAAUGCAAAACUUAUAUUAUUAUGAAAUGUCUUGUGUUUAUAUUAUAAUAUAGUUUCAGUUUUCUAAAAUUAUAAAAUAAUAAUUUUGAAUUAUAAUUUGACUACGGCAAAUGAAAAAGACCGGCAUGUCUGGACGGAGCGAGUAAUUGAUAAUUGCAGGUACAAAUCUUUGUUAAUUGUUGUAGACCUAUUUGUAUUAACGAAGUUGUUGCAAUUUUUGUUGACUACUUGGUGUUGGAGUUUAAUUCUAUAUUCCUAUGUUUAAUUAUUUAUUUAGAUUUAUUUAGAUAAUGUUUUGGUUUUAUUUGAAUAAGUUUCUGUAACGUGUGUUGCUUGCAGUGAGAAUAGGUCUUCAGUAGUUAAGUUUGGAUAGGUUAGUCGUGGAGAUAUAUCAGGAGGUGCUCCUAGUUUUUAGUCAUCACCUUAGGUGAUGGGCUUUUAAAUAGUUUUAGUCUGCAGUAGUUAGUUCUUAUCUAUCCUGAUCAUUCAUUUGUACGUUGUAUUCUUUCCCCAAGUUAUAUACAGAAAAUGAGUCUUUGCUCACA